ACCCUCCCUCUCCCUCUGCCAGUCCCUGAUGCCUCUUCACUCCAUGAGGCCCCACCCUCUUCUUCCCCCACCCCACAUCCCCUCUGCUUACCCCCCAUUCUCCCUCCCCAACAGUAUCCCCCGAGAGCCUGGCUGCUCCUCUGGCUGUUCCACACCCCUUCGCCCACCCAUAGUCCCUCCAGUACCUGGCUACUCCUUCCCUCCACCUUGGCUGCUGGUUCUCUUCUCUCCCCAGGUCCCUUCAACCCCCAGCUGUUCCCUCUGUCUGCCCACUCAUUCCCUCCCUCCAAGCAUCCCCCAGCUCCUGGGUG
rnacentral:sRNA from 1 species